rnacentral:rRNA from 1 species
UACAGAGGCCUCGAGCGUUAGGCGGAAUCACUGGGCUUAAAGCGCGUGUAGGCGGACCGUUAAGUGCCUUGUGAAAUCCCACGGCUCAACCGUGGAACCGCUGGGCAUACUGGGCGGUCUUGGGCCACUCAGGGGCAACCGGAACAAGCGGUGGAGCGGUGAAAUGCGUAGAGAUCAUGAGGAAGACCAGUGGCGAAGGCGGGUCUCUGGACAGUUCCUGACACUGAGGCACGAAGGCCAGGGGAGCAAACGGG